GACGAACGCUGGCGGCGUGCUUAACACAUGCAAGUCGAACGGAAAGGCCCUGCUUUUGUGGGGUGCUCGAGUGGCGAACGGGUGAGUAACACGUGAGUAACCUGCCCUUGACUUUGGGAUAACUUCAGGAAACUGGGGCUAAUACCGGAUAGGAGCUCCUGCUGCAUGGUGGGGGUUGGAAAGUUUCGGCGGUUGGGGAUGGACUCGCGGCUUAUCAGCUUGUUGGUGGGGUAGUGGCUUACCAAGGCUUUGACGGGUAGCCGGCCUGAGAGGGUGACCGGCCACAUUGGGACUGAGAUACGGCCCAGACUCCUACGGGAGGCAGCAGUGGGGAAUAUUGCACAAUGGGCGGAAGCCUGAUGCAGCAACGCCGCGUGCGGGAUGACGGCCUUCGGGUUGUAAACCGCUUUCGCCUGUGACGAAGCGUGAGUGACGGUAAUGGGUAAAGAAGCACCGGCUAACUACGUGCCAGCAGCCGCGGUGAUACGUAGGGUGCGAGCGUUGUCCGGAUUUAUUGGGCGUAAAGGGCUCGUAGGUGGUUGAUCGCGUCGGAAGUGUAAUCUUGGGGCUUAACCCUGAGCGCGCUUUCGAUACGGGUUGACUUGAGGAAGGUAGGGGAGAAUGGAAUUCCUGGUGGAGCGGUGGAAUGCGCAGAUAUCAGGAGGAACACCAGUGGCGAAGGCGGUUCUCUGGGCCUUUCCUGGCGCUGAGGAGCGAAAGCGUGGGGAGCGAACAGGCUUAGAUACCCUGGUAGUCCACGCUGUAAACGGUGGGUACUAGGUGUGGGGUCCAUUCCACGGGUUCCGUGCCGUAGCUAACGCUUUAAGUACCCCGCCUGGGGAGUACGGCCGCAAGGCUAAAACUCAAAGGAAUUGACGGGGCCCCGCACAAGCGGCGGAGCAUGCGGAUUAAUUCGAUGCAACGCGUAGAACCUUACCUGGGUUUGACAUGGAUCGGGAGUGCUCAGAGAUGGGUGUGCCUCUUUUGGGGUCGGUUCACAGGUGGUGCAUGGCUGUCGUCAGCUCGUGUCGUGAGAUGUUGGGUUAAGUCCCGCAACGAGCGCAACCCUUGUUCACUGUUGCCAGCACGUUAUGGUGGGGACUCAGUGGAGACCGCCGGGGUCAACUCGGAGGAAGGUGGGGAUGACGUCAAGUCAUCAUGCCCCUUAUGUCCAGGGCUUCACGCAUGCUACAAUGGCUGGUACAGGGAGUGGCGAGCCUGUGAGGGUGAGCGAAUCUCGGAAAGCCGGUCUCAGUUCGGAUUGGGGUCUGCAACUCGACCUCAUGAAGUCGGAGUCGCUAGUAAUCGCAGGUCAGCAACGCUGCGGUGAAUACGUUCCCGGGGC
rnacentral:rRNA from 1 species